rnacentral:rRNA from 1 species
AGUGAACGCUGGCGGUAGGCCUAACACAUGCAAGUCGAACGGCAGCACAGUAAGAGCUUGCUCUUACGGGUGGCGAGUGGCGGACGGGUGAGGAAUACAUCGGAAUCUACUUUUUCGUGGGGGAUAACGUAGGGAAACUUACGCUAAUACCGCAUACGACCUACGGGUGAAAGCAGGGGAUCUUCGGACCUUGCGCGAUUGAAUGAGCCGAUGUCGGAUUAGCUAGUUGGCGGGGUAAAGGCCCACCAAGGCGACGAUCCGUAGCUGGUCUGAGAGGAUGAGACGCCAGACUGGAACUGAGGCACGGACGAGAGUCCUACGGGAGGAAGCAGUAGGGAAUGUUCAGCAAUGGGCGGAAGCCUGACGGAGCAACGCCGCGAGAGGGAUGAAGGUAUUCGGAUCGUAAAAUUCUGUUAGUAUGGAAGAACAAAUGUGGAAGUAAAUAUGCACGUCUUGACGGGAGCUAAUAAGAAAGCCACGGCUAACUACGUG